rnacentral:rRNA from 1 species
GUCCAUGACCAUACCACUCUGAACAUGCCCAAUCUCAUGAUCUCAUCUGAACUCAGAAGCUAAGCAGGGUCGGGCCUGGUUAUUACUUGGAAGGGAGAAGUGGAACAGCUAGGACUUGAACC